rnacentral:lncRNA from 1 species
AUCAGCAGAAAGACGGGAUGUGUCCACGCCCCAUUUUUUCUUUAUCGACAUCAAAAAUAAAUAUUCCAAAAUAAAACCAUAACCUCCUCAAUUAGGCUUUCAAAGUCCCAACUUCAUACAAUAAUGAGUCCAAAACGCAUUCCCUUUCCCUUCCAAUGACAAGUGUAAGUUUAAUGUGUUACAAUCAUUUUCAUAAGUGAACGAGUAAAAUUAAGGAGUUCACAGAACCAUCUCUCAAAAAUAAAUAAUAUAGGAUGCUACCACAACUCCGUCCAAGUUAAGCUUUCAAAAAAUAUGAUACAUGCCACACGUCAAGCACCUCCAUUCAUGAUCACGAGGUGUACCUGAAAAAUUAAUAGGAUGAGCCAAAGCCCAUGUAAGAAAAAAAUCUCUACAACCGCUAUAUCAUCUAUAAUGAAUAUGGGCAUGCUAAAUAAGGAAGGAAAGUAACAGAACUGAGUUCAGCAAAGAAGGAGGUAUCAAUGACGCCAAGUGUAUCAAUUCAAAGAAGACGGUAUCCUGCUUGUAUCUCAAGGUGUCCAAGUGUCCUCAAAACCUUGUCAAUUCUAAGGAAACUCAAACUUUAAUUCAAAUGUCUAUCAACACUGUGUACUCGCACACCAAACCUCUUAAAUCUUUUUCCAAACCAUUUUAUCAUUUUCUUUCCUAGAACUCACUAUAGGAACUGCGGUUCCUCUACACCCCUUGCCGUUUCAAUGGGCUCCGUACCCCCCUCCCGUUCAUGGCUCCGUACACACACCCCCCCCCGCCGGAUUUCACGGGCUCCGUACACCCAUGCCCGGGGACACACCGAAUGGUGGCCUCGUAAUUACUACUUUACUUAUUCUCAACUCAUCUUGGUGGUUGGUAUUUAACACUCAAACCAACCCCUUUUUAUCGCUUGAGAUAAAUUACAUACAAGGCAACUAACACAGUCAUAUCUUUUACUACCAAAUGUCAGAUUUAUUUGUAACGCAAUAAAGUAAGACACCGCAACAAACCCAUAGCCUAUACGGGCUAAUUUCGGGAACACCAAACGAGUACCACACUGCAAAGCAAUAUCGGAUAGAAAAGUCGCAAAAAUAGAUAUAAAAUUCACAAAACAAGGCUAUUUUCAGCUCAAAACGAGGCCCAACGCAGCUGAAAUCUGGGUACACAAAUGCAGCAGUAAUGGAUAUAAAGUGCAGGCAUAAAAUGGAUCUAAACGCAGCCACAAUUUGGGUUAUUUCCACUCAAAACGAGGUCCAACAUAGCGAAAAUGGCAGCAAAACCGAGCCAAAAAAGGCAUCAAAAACUGAAUCGAAACACGGAAAACAUGCUCAUUUCGUGCAAGUUCACGUGCACUCAAGUGUUCCAAGUUUCGUUGGGUACAAACCACACAAAGGGUGGCUCAUCAUCAUUCUAAACACAACAUCAAGAUCAAUUGAUUCCUGACAGAUUUUCGAUUACACAAGGCCAAAGUGGGGUUUUCAUCACAAUCAAACCCAAGCCAAACGAAAUUAACUUGAAAGAUGAAGGGCACAAUCAAUUAAUGAAGAUAGAGAAUGAGAAAUUUUUUCCCCUACCUUCAGGAUUUUGGCUAGCAAUUCCACAAAAAUCAAGCCCUAGAGAGCCUUCAACAAAACCCUAAUCCCGAAUUUGAGCUCAAGGGUUGAAAAGAGUGGCAUUUGAGCUACAAUGCUCGCGUAUCAGAGGGUUUUGAUCUUGGGUCUUGAAGUAAGUUUAGUAUGGAAGUGUUGCUGAGGUGGGAGGUGCCAGAAGAAAUGGGGAGAGGAGAGAGAGAGGGGAUCCGGGCAAUGGAUGGGGGGGGGGGAGACUGAUUUGUUUUAUUCUCUCCCCCAUCUCUUUUCAUUAAAGUAAAAUUACACUAUCACACAAAAAACCCUCAUUCCACUUGUGUAAACCAACUGAGGGUCCAAAACUCUAAAAUUUUUUUUUUUGUUUUACAUGUCCACUUAACUUUGAAACAUUUUUCAAAAUAAAGUCUCAACUUGAUUUUCAUAAAGUGAUAAAAAAAAUAUACGGGUCCUUACAUGAUGCCGGUUGACAAAGUAUCCAUCCAAAAUGCAACACUUUUAGAGGACUAUGAUAUUGUUGAAUCUAGGGAUUUCCAAACACAAAAUUUUCCCUUUUCUCGUCAACUGAUUCUUAAAAUACAUCUUCUCCAAUCUAUGGCAAUUCACAACUUGAUAACCACUUUUUCAGUAAUUGCAUGUAAUUACUGAUUAAAAACAUAAACAUCAUGACCUCAUGGUGCAGAUGAGCAAAAAAAAAAAAAUGUACCUUAGUAUCUCCUCCUCCGCAGCCGUCCAUGGAACUUUGUUUGUCAUCAAAUGAGAAACGCCGGGAAAGUGCUGCAAAUUAGGGGAAUAGUACUGCAAAUUAGGGGAAUAGUACCUUGUCAAUCAUAAUCGCGACGUGCAAAAACAACAUCAGUGUGUUCAUAAGACCAAGUGCAAGCACAAGCAUACAAAUGCAACAAUAUUAGAGUAUUCAUGAGACAGUGCACACGAGAGGAUGGGAUAGAGCCAUGCAAUUGCCACUUAAGAAGACACGAGGCUUUGGAUGAUCGUUAGAGGAAAGAAUAAUAACUUAGCAUAGGCAUCCAUAAACUAAUGUCCUGAAUCGAAUAAAGAGAAGGACCUUAUGACUGCCUUCUUCUCGCCUAUGGAAUCUUAUGGAAGUGAGCUUACCGCCAUUUUCCUCUUCAGAACUUUCCUCAGUGUCAAUAUUUGGGGACAAGUAGCGUCUUGGGGUGAACUAGUCAUUGUCCUUAAAAACUGUGUUGCGUUGCAUUCCAUUUUUUCAGCAUGCCUCUUGGAUCAAAGAACAAUCUGGGUGUUUUCUGAUCAUGAUAGUUUCCUCUUCUACAACAUGCGAUGCACAAUACAUUAUGGCUCAAGGUACCCUUUUUUCGCUUAUUUUCUAUAUUUCCCCGUAUUGAGAACUAUUGCUGUCGUAAUAGUCUCCGGUGUAGUUAACUUGGAUGUUUCCUCUCAGCUGGACUAUUGUAUUAGGCCGAUUGGCCUAGAGACCUCUUAAAAAGUUCCAUAUCGCCGGCGCCCAUUCUCCUGUCC